CCAGACUCCUACGGGAGGCAGCAGUGAGGAAUAUUGGUCAAUGGGCGAGAGCCUGAACCAGCCAAGUCGCGUGAGGGAAGACGGCCCUACGGGUUGUAAACCUCUUUUGUCAGGGAGCAAGAACAGAUACGUGUAUCUGAGCGAGAGUACCUGAAGAAAAAGCAUCGGCUAACUCCGUGCCAGCAGCCGCGGUAAUACGGAGGAUCCGAGCGUUAUCCGGAUUUAUUGGGUUUAAAGGGAGCGUAGGUGGAUUGUUAAGUCAGUUGUGAAAGUUUGCGGCUCAACCGUAAAAUUGCAGUUGAAACUGGCAGUCUUGAGUACAGUAGAGGUGGGCGGAAUUCGUUGUGUAGCGGUGAAAUGCUUAGAUAUCACGAAGAACUCCGAUUGCGAAGGCAGCUCACUGGACUGCAACUGACACUGAGGCUCGAAAGUGUGGGUAUCAAACAGGAUUAGAUACCCUUGUA
rnacentral:rRNA from 1 species